rnacentral:lncRNA from 1 species
UUGGCCCCAAUCUUGUUUGGAAUCUGGACUUUGCUGCUGAAUGGAAAAGUGGGAUGGAGUUGCAUGGAUCCAGGCUUUUGUGCUGCUGUUCUAAGCAGAGUUGGGCCUGGUUAAUAUGUGAUGUUUUCCUUCGGUGCUGUUUAGCCCCAGUGUUCUUUGGAGUCCGGGGAAGUUUGGCCUUUAAAAAUCAAACUGCCAUGGACACUGCUUUACCCAAAAUUUUGGUUCACAUUCUUCACUGGAUUAACUAUUGGGGCAAACAACGUAUAACCAUGUAAAACCAGUACGCUUGUAUUGGCAUUUCAUGGCUAGAGUUCUAAGUCACAAGCACCUCUUCGGCAAAGCCCACCUCCCUCUCUCGCUUGAUUCCCCGGCCAUCCUUAUCAAAGACCUUCCAGGUGAACAGGCAGCCAUCCUCAGCAGCAGUCAGCAGGAACUGAUCAUCAAAGACAGAAUCUUGCUCUGUUGCCCAGGCUGGAGUGUAGUGGU